rnacentral:rRNA from 1 species
CGAACGCUGGCGGCGUGCUUAACACAUGCAAGUCGCACGGAAAGGCCCUGCUUUUGUGGGGUGCUCGAGUGGCGAACGGGUGAGUAACACGUGAGUAACCUGCCCUUGACUUUGGGAUAACUUCAGGAAACUGGGGCUAAUACCGGAUAGGAGCUCCUGCUGCAUGGUGGGGGUUGGAAAGUUUCGGCGGUUGGGGAUGGACUCGCGGCUUAUCAGCUUGUUGGUGGGGUAGUGGCUUACCAAGGCUUUGACGGGUAGCCGGCCUGAGAGGGUGACCGGCCACAUUGGGACUGAGAUACGGCCCAGACUCCUACGGGAGGCAGCAGUGGGGAAUGUUGCACAAUGGGCGGAAGCCUGAUGCAGCAACACCGCGUGCGGGAUGACGGCCUUCGGGUUGUAAACCGCUUUCGCCUGUGACGAAGCGUGAGUGACGGUAAUGGGUAAAGAAGCACCGGCUAACUACGUG